GCCGAGAUAGCUCAGUUGGGAGAGCGUUUAACUGAAGAUCUAAAGGGUCCCUGGUUCGAUCCCGGGUCUCGGCA